CCUGGUGGCUCAGUCGGUAAAGAAUCUGCCUGGAAUGCAGGAGACCAGGGUUCGAUCCCUGGGUCAGGA
rnacentral:tRNA from 1 species